rnacentral:rRNA from 1 species
CAGUAGCCGCGGUAAUACGAAGGGUGCAGGCGUUAAUCGGAAUUACUGGGCGUAAAGCGUGCGUAGGCGGUGGGUUAAGUCUGCUGUGAAAUCCCCGGGCUCAACCUGGGAAUGGCAGUGGAUACUGGCUCGCUAGAGUGUGUCAGAGGAUGGUGGAAUUCCCGGUGUAGCGGUGAAAUGCGUAGAGAUCGGGAGGAACAUCAGUGGCGAAGGCGGCCAUCUGGGACAACACUGACGCUGAGGCACGAAAGCGUAGGGAGCAAACAGGAUUAGAUACCCGCGUAGUCCCUGUCUCUUAUAC